rnacentral:rRNA from 1 species
CCUACGGGAUGCCGCAGUGGGGAAUAUUGCACAAUGGGCGCAAGCCUGAACGAGCGAUGCCGCGUGAGUGAAGAAGGCCUUCGGGUCGUAAAGCUCUGUUGCGGGGGAAAAAAGGCAACUACAGGAAAUGGUAGAUGACAGAUGGUGCCCGGCCAGCAAGUCACAGGUAACUACGUGCCAGCAGCCGCGGUAAUACGUAGGUGGCGAGCGUUAUCCGGAAGGAUUGGGCGUAAAGGGUGCGAAGUCGGUGCUGCAAGUCUGGAGUGAAACGGAUGAGCUCAACUCAUGCAUGGCGCUGGAAACUGGAGGACUGGAGAGCAGGAGAGGGCGGUGGAACUCCAUGUGUAGCGGUAAAAUGCGUAGAUAUAUGGAAGAACACCAGUGGCGAAGGCGGCCGCCUGGCCUGUUGCUGACGCUGAGGCACGAAAGCGUGGGUAGCAAAUAGGAUUAGAUACCCUUGUAGUC